rnacentral:rRNA from 1 species
AAAUUGAAGAGUUUGAUCAUGGCUCAGAUUGAACGCUGGCGGCAGGCCUAACACAUGCAAGUCGAACGGUAACAGGAAACAGCUUGCUGUUUCGCUGACGAGUGGCGGACGGGUGAGUAAUGUCUGGGAAACUGCCUGAUGGAGGGGGGAUAACUACUGGAAACGGUAGCUAAUACCGCAUAACGUCGCAAGACCAAAGAGGGGGGACCUUCGGGCCUCUUGCCAUCGGAUGUGCCCAGAUGGGAUUAGCUAGUAGGUGGGGUAACGGCUCACCUAGGCGACGAUCCCUAGCUGGUCUGAGAGGAUGACCAGCCACACUGGAACUGAGACACGGUCCAGACUCCUACGGGAGGCAGCAGUGGGGAAUAUUGCACAAUGGGCGCAAGCCUGAUGCAGCCAUGCCGCGUGUAUGAAGAAGGCCUUCGGGUUGUAAAGUACUUUCAGCGGGGGAGGAAGGGAGUAAAGUUAAUACCUUUGCUCAUUGACGUUACCCGCAGAAGAAGCACCGGCUAACUCCGUGCCAGCAGCCGCGGUAAUACGGAGGGUGCAAGCGUUAAUCGGAAUUACUGGGCGUAAAGCGCACGCAGGCGGUUUGUUAAGUCAGAUGUGAAAUCCCCGGGCUCAACCUGGGAACUGCAUCUGAUACUGGCAAGCUUGAGUCUCGUAGAGGGGGGUAGAAUUCCGGGUGUAGCGGUGAAAUGCGUAGAGAUCUGGAGGAAUACCGGUGGCGAAGGCGGCCCCCCUGGACGAAGACUGACGCUCAGGUGCGAAAGCGUGGGGAGCAAACAGGAUUAGAUACCCCGGUAGUCCACGCCGUAAACGAUGUCGACUUGGAGGUUGUGCCCUUGAGGCGUGGCUUCCGGAGCUAACGCGUUAAGUCGACCGCCCGGGGAGUACGGCCGCAAGGUUAAAACUCAAAUGAAUUGACGGGGGGCCCGCACAAGCGGUGGAGCAUGUGGUUUAAUUCGAUGCAACGCGAAGAACCUUACCCUGGUCUUGACAUCCACAGAACCUUGUAGAGAUACGAGGGUGCCUUCGGGAACUGUGAGACAGGUGCUGCAUGGCUGUCGUCAGCUCGUGUUGUGAAAUGUUGGGUUAAGUCCCGCAACGAGCGCAACCCUUAUCCUUUGUUGCCAGCGGUCCGGCCGGGAACUCAAAGGAGACUGCCAGUGAUAAACUGGAGGAAGGUGGGGAUGACGUCAAGUCAUCAUGGCCCUUACGACCAGGGGCUACACACGUGCUACAAUGGCGCAUACAAAGAGAAGCGACCUCGCGAGAGCAAGCGGACCUCAUAAAGUGCGUCGUAGUCCGGAUUGGAGUCUGCAACUCGACUCCAUGAAGUCGGAAUCGCUAGUAAUCGUGGAUCAGAAUGCCACGGUGAAUACGUUCCCGGGCCUUGUACACACCGCCCGUCACACCAUGGGAGUGGGUUGCAAAAAGAAGUAGGUAGCUUAACCUUCGGGAGGGCGCUUACCACUUUGUGAUUCAUGACUGGGGUGAAGUCGUAACAAGGUAACCGUAGGGGAACCUGCGGUUGGAUCACCUCCUUACCUUAAAGAAGC